rnacentral:rRNA from 1 species
GGUUAAGCGACUAAGCGUACACGGUGGAUGCCCUGGCAGUCAGAGGCGAUGAAGGACGUGCUAAUCUGCGAUAAGCGCCGGUAAGGUGAUAUGAACCGUUAUAACCGGCGAUUUCCGAAUGGGGAAACCCAGUGUGACUCGUCACACUAUCAUUAACUGAAUCCAUAGGUUAAUGAGGCGAACCGGGGGAACUGAAACAUCUAAGUACCCCGAGGAAAAGAAAUCAACCGAGAUUCCCCCAGUAGCGGCGAGCGAACGGGGAGGAGCCCAGAGCCUGAAUCAGCAUGUGUGUUAGUGGAAGCGUCUGGAAAGGCGCGCGAUACAGGGUGACAGCCCCGUACACAAAAGCGCAUGUGCUGUGAGCUCGAUGAGUAGGGCGGGACACGUGGUAUCCUGUCUGAAUAUGGGGGGACCAUCCUCCAAGGCUAAAUACUCCUGACUGACCGAUAGUGAACCAGUACCGUGAGGGAAAGGCGAAAAGAACCCCGGCGAGGGGAGUGAAAAAGAACCUGAAACCGUGUACGUACAAGCAGUGGGAGCACCCUUUGGGGUGUGACUGCGUACCUUUUGUAUAAUGGGUCAGCGACUUAUAUUCUGUAGCAAGGUUAACCGAAUAGGGGAGCCGGAGGGAAACCGAGUCUUAACCGGGCGUUAAGUUGCAGGGUAUAGACCCGAAACCCGGUGAUCUAGCCAUGGGCAGGUUGAAGGUUGGGUAACACUAACUGGAGGACCGAACCGACUAAUGUUGAAAAAUUAGCGGAUGACCUGUGGCUGGGGGUGAAAGGCCAAUCAAACCGGGAGAUAGCUGGUUCUCCCCGAAAGCUAUUUAGGUAGCGCCUCGUGAAUUCAUCUCCGGGGGUAGAGCACUGUUUCGGCUAGGGGGCCAUCCCGGCUUACCAACCCGAUGCAAACUGCGAAUACCGGAGAAUGUUAUCACGGGAGACACACGGCGGGUGCUAACGUCCGUCGUGAAGAGGGAAACAACCCAGACCGCCAGCUAAGGUCCCAAAGUCAUGGUUAAGUGGGAAACGAUGUGGGAAGGCCCAGACAGCCAGGAUGUUGGCUUAGAAGCAGCCAUCAUUUAAAGAAAGCGUAAUAGCUCACUGGUCGAGUCGGCCUGCGCGGAAGAUGUAACGGGGCUAAACCAUGCACCGAAGCUGCGGCAGCGACACUAUGUGUUGUUGGGUAGGGGAGCGUUCUGUAAGCCUGUGAAGGUGGCCUGUGAGGGUUGCUGGAGGUAUCAGAAGUGCGAAUGCUGACAUAAGUAACGAUAAAGCGGGUGAAAAGCCCGCUCGCCGGAAGACCAAGGGUUCCUGUCCAACGUUAAUCGGGGCAGGGUGAGUCGACCCCUAAGGCGAGGCCGAAAGGCGUAGUCGAUGGGAAACGGGUUAAUAUUCCCGUACUUGGUGUUACUGCGAAGGGGGGACGGAGAAGGCUAUGUUGGCCGGGCGACGGUUGUCCCGGUUUAAGCGUGUAGGUGUGUGUUCCAGGUAAAUCCGGUUCACUUUAACACUGAGGCGUGACGACGAGGCACUACGGUGCUGAAGCAACAAAUGCCCUGCUUCCAGGAAAAGCCUCUAAGCAUCAGGUAACACGAAAUCGUACCCCAAACCGACACAGGUGGUCAGGUAGAGAAUACCAAGGCGCUUGAGAGAACUCGGGUGAAGGAACUAGGCAAAAUGGUGCCGUAACUUCGGGAGAAGGCACGCUGACACGUAGGUGAAGUGAUUUACUCAUGGAGCUGAAGUCAGUCGAAGAUACCAGCUGGCUGCAACUGUUUAUUAAAAACACAGCACUGUGCAAACACGAAAGUGGACGUAUACGGUGUGACGCCUGCCCGGUGCCGGAAGGUUAAUUGAUGGGGUCAGCGCAAGCGAAGCUCCUGAUCGAAGCCCCGGUAAACGGCGGCCGUAACUAUAACGGUCCUAAGGUAGCGAAAUUCCUUGUCGGGUAAGUUCCGACCUGCACGAAUGGCGUAAUGAUGGCCAGGCUGUCUCCACCCGAGACUCAGUGAAAUUGAACUCGCUGUGAAGAUGCAGUGUACCCGCGGCAAGACGGAAAGACCCCGUGAACCUUUACUAUAGCUUGACACUGAACAUUGAGCCUUGAUGUGUAGGAUAGGUGGGAGGCUUUGAAGUGUGGACGCCAGUCUGCAUGGAGCCGACCUUGAAAUACCACCCUUUAAUGUUUGAUGUUCUAACGUGGACCCGUGAUCCGGGUUGCGGACAGUGUCUGGUGGGUAGUUUGACUGGGGCGGUCUCCUCCUAAAGAGUAACGGAGGAGCACGAAGGUUGGCUAAUCCUGGUCGGACAUCAGGAGGUUAGUGCAAUGGCAUAAGCCAGCUUGACUGCGAGCGUGACGGCGCGAGCAGGUGCGAAAGCAGGUCAUAGUGAUCCGGUGGUUCUGAAUGGAAGGGCCAUCGCUCAACGGAUAAAAGGUACUCCGGGGAUAACAGGCUGAUACCGCCCAAGAGUUCAUAUCGACGGCGGUGUUUGGCACCUCGAUGUCGGCUCAUCACAUCCUGGGGCUGAAGUAGGUCCCAAGGGUAUGGCUGUUCGCCAUUUAAAGUGGUACGCGAGCUGGGUUUAGAACGUCGUGAGACAGUUCGGUCCCUAUCUGCCGUGGGCGCUGGAGAACUGAGGGGGGCUGCUCCUAGUACGAGAGGACCGGAGUGGACGCAUCACUGGUGUUCGGGUUGUCAUGCCAAUGGCACUGCCCGGUAGCUAAAUGCGGAAGAGAUAAGUGCUGAAAGCAUCUAAGCACGAAACUUGCCCCGAGAUGAGUUCUCCCUGAGACUUAGAGUCUCCUGAAGGAACGUUGAAGACGACGACGUUGAUAGGCCGGGUGUGUAAGCGCAGCGAUGCGUUGAGCUAACCGGUACUAAUGAACCGUGAGGCUUAACCUU